UAAUAUUGCGAAAAUAACACUUUUAAAAAAGUCUUUAAACAAGUAUUAAAAUUAUGAAAACGAAAGUACAUAGGGGACUUACCUUUAAAACCCCAAAAUGGUGAAAUCCAAUUUAACUGGUGUUCAAUAAUGAUGUAUACAGUAUGGAUAAGAUGUAAAGAAGUGUAUGUAGGAAAAGGAAAGAAAAAGAGCAAGAUGGCUGUAAGUAAAACAAUGACAUCCAGACAGAUGUCAGGCCAUUUGUCAAUGGAUACAGAUCCAUUAUCCCCACAGAAUGACAACAGAUCUCCAAUAUUCAGUCUUAGCAGCAAUAAUAUGUCCGCAGAUGCACUGGCUGGACCUCAAGAUGCAAGUAGAAGAUCAACACAAGAGUUGAAACAAGAAGCUAAACAUGCAGAAAGCAGGCCUGGACAUCUUAGUAUAGAGAAGCUGCCGGCAAAAUCUGUGUCUCGGUCUAGAAGUGGACAAAGAGAUGAACUUGACCAGGUUGAGUCAGAGCUACAAGCACAGAUACAUGUCAAGUUGGAGGAUAUGUCAAUAAACAAAGGACAGGAUAGCAGCUACAGCUCAAUGAGUUCAGGAGAUAGUUUCAGCUGUAGUAGUAUGCCGUCUGCUAACUGGGAGGAUGAACUGAAGCAAUACACAGAUAAAAUGCCACCAGAUAUAAGAAUGGGAUAUAUUGAUGUGUUAAUUCUAUACUGUGAGGAGGACCGAGAGCAAGCAGAAAAGUUUCAACAACAUUUGAGAGAGGAAAUCGAUGUUCCGAAUGGCCCUGUGCAAACUUUACUAUAUGAUGAUGCUGAUAUGCAGGCUAUUUGUGGUUCUAAAAUACAGCAUUUAGCUAAAGGUGUUGAGAGAAGCACAUACGUUUUUAUAUUCAUGACUAAAAACUUUAUAGACGAUAAGUGGUGUGAAUUUUCUAGUGAAAGUUGUUUAAUGGAGGCUAUCACAAACCCAUUGAAGCAAUGGUGUGUUGUUCCCGUUUACACUGAAAAACGUAAUUCGUCUUUCAGGGUUCCUAUGGGACUGAACACGUUAAAAGGGAUUAACUACUAUAAUAAUGACAGGUUUUAUAAAAAUGGUGUCGCAAGAUUGAUAGGAGAUAAGACUUGUGUACGGGUUCAGGCAAAUGAGGAGCAUAAAAUUAAACAGAAGAAAUGGCUAGAAGAUUUCAAGAGGAGACAGAUAGUUUUAAGAGAACAACAGCGUAGACUUCAAGAAUAUGAGAAAGCACAAACACAGCAGUUGCUAGACUGGCUCGAUGAAGAAACAAAAAGAUUGAUACAUGAAGGUUUGCUCCCCAAUUUUCUGCCCCAUUCUUUUUCUGAGAGUGACAUAUCAAGCCGCGAUUCGACUAUGUCACAUUCUUCAAGUUCCAGUAGCUUGAAGCCUGUCCACUCACAAAACCCAGUAGUAACACAAUAUUUCCAAGACUUAAUUGCACAGCAAAAAGUUUAUAAUCGUAAUUCAAGAAAUUACUCACCGGAGCAAAUCAGGAUUAUGGAACAAGUUUACGGCAGUACAAGUCCAGUAACGCCAGGUUAUCCCAAUCAUAUUAGUUCACCUGUGAUGAAUGCGUAUCCAGGUCAGAGUCCUGGUCAGUUUGGCCCAGGUCAGUAUGGUCCAGGUCAAGGUUAUUUCCCUCCUGUUCAGAAUUCUGCUUCGUAUCAACAACAGUAUCAGCAUCAUGUGAAGAGAAGCACAUCCCAGACCAGUGCAGACAUGGGACCAUCAACAGAAUUCAUUCUGCACACAGAGACGGGAGACGUUUCAGUUACAGUGCCAUCUGUGGUGAUUGAGAAAAUUAAGGAUCUACCAGAAGAUGAACAACAGAAAGCAGUGCAAUAUUACUGCAAUGAGAAGGCUAUUAAACAACAACAACAACAGACAGUUGUAAAUCAGCAGUGGAAUGCUGCCCAGAAUCAGUAUGCUAGGUUGUCCCCCUUGGAGAUGGAGAACAGAAUUCAGUCACAAGUCACCAGCCCUGGUGGUGCAUAUCCAUAUCAAAGAAAUUCAAACACUGUUCAGGAAGGGGUUCCAAAUUUUGACGUAAUAGGAAUGAAUUCUGGGAGCUACCGCACAGGAAGUACUUACAAUGAGACUUCAAGAUCAAUGCAGAGUGGUUUAUCCAGCCGAAUGGAAUCCAACCAGCCUGGACCUAGUGUAGGUCAGCUUGGCAGUAAUAUGGAUGGAAACAGGAGCGAGUUGCAAGGAAAUUUACCCAAUCAUAGCUUGCUUGAGCAUGAUGCUGGUACCAGUCUCAGUUCAAGAGCAUACCCAUCUGUAACUGAAUGCCAUGAACAAGUAUACCAGACAGAAAUAAUCAAAGAAACACAGUCUGAUUCUGAGACAGAUGAAGAUACUCCAAAAGAAAGUAGGAAGAAGAGGAAAGGGAAGGGGAAACAUAUUCACAUUCACAAGACCUACAUCUAUCAACCUAAGACUGUUCAGAUUGGCGAUCAUAAUGUAGUACAGGAAGCCAGCAGGGAGAACGAGGGCUUGGAAGAUGAGGAGAUUGUAGCAGAGUUACCCGUGCCGGGAAACAAGACAGGUGUUGGGAAUGAUUCGCCAGUCAGUUCUGAAGAGAAGCAGCAGAUGAUGAAGGUAGAUAUUAAGCCAGGGUCAGAGACACACGGAGAGAUACAGGAACAGCCAAACUCUGCCGGGGCCAGCAGUUCCUGUCAUGUUGAUGCUGCUCCGUCAACUGUUAGAAACCUACCGUCAGGUGUACCACAGGUGCAUCAUGCAACAAAGCUGAAACUAUUAACACAGGAGCUUACUACGAUUAAAAGCGCCAAAGAAGAGGACAUUGAGGAGGCUGAGGAAGUAUUGCCAGAUGUAAAAAAUGUCGAACACGAAUACAGUAUGGAAAAGAAGUUUGAAAAUAGCUCAAAGUUCGAUGAUGAUAAUAAUGAAAACUUGGAACAUAAAACCAGAUUUGAAGAAAGCGUAAAUCUAAAUAGCAGUUUUUCAACUGAAAAAUCAAGCUCAUUGAAAAGAAAGGAAAUGCCAUUUGAAGAAAAUUUUCAGAAACAAGAUGUGAAACCAACUUGUGUAGCUAAACCAGUGGCAGCGGUUCAACCAUUCAGUCCUACUGGAGCAGAUGAUGAAUAUGAUGAUAACUGUGAUAAUACAGAUCCAAAAACUUUGGUAAAAACCAGUCAAACAACAAAGAAAACAGUAUUAUCAAAUUCAGAGGGAGCAUGUAGCUCUGAACAAACUUAUGUGAAAGAAGCCUGGGGUGUGAAUACUCCAUCAUCUGCGAGAACACGUACUGAACAGAUGCAGAGAAAUAUUCCUGUUCAGGCUUUAACUAAAACAGUUGACUCAGGUGACACAUUGAGGAAUGGAAAACCCAAUUUCUCAAGUUUAAAGCGUACUGAUCCUCAAGAACUGUUAUUCACCCAAAUACCAGCAGUUGUUACAAAUAAUGGUGUAGGUAAUGCAGCAAAUGCACCUGGUCGUCGAGAGGUUGCCCUCGGAAAUGAUCCUUUGACACGGGAGACACAAGAAGGUACUGUAGCAAGUUAUGGAACGCCCGUUUAGUGUUGAGCUUCCGUGGCCAUAACAAUCUUCUUGAGCUGACAAAGCUGUUGAAUAGUCUAGCGUUGCUGUCCUCCUACAACUCUCAGCCUGCAUCAAAAAGUUUUAUCCCUCAGUCAUCUCCUUUUACACCUAAUGCCACACCCACAGAUGAUGAUGACCUUGAAUUUGACUUCAUUAAAUCGGAAAGUUACGAAACCGCCGAAUAUCCUAACCAGAAUUCCAG
rnacentral:misc_RNA from 1 species